rnacentral:lncRNA from 1 species
CGUUCAAAAGCUGUCAGACGCUAGUUUUUAGUUUCUGGGUUGCCCAGAAAGUACCCGGUCAAUGCCGGUCAACGGUAUUUGACCGUGAAUAACUUUAUUUCCAGAAAUCAAAUAGCUAUUCUACCACUUGGAUCUUAAAGACCAUAUACCAAGCUACAUAACCCAACACUUAAACAACAAAAACAAUAAACAAAAAACGAUAUACAGCCCCUGACAUUUGAUGUCAGACAACAGAAAUACAUUUUCCAGAAUUUUGAAAAUCAUUGAUUUGAGUAUUUAGAUGUUAUGGACUUGCAAUAUACCGACCCAG